AGUGAACGCUGGCGGUAGGCCUAACACAUGCAAGUCGAACGGCAGCACAGUAAGAGCUUGCUCUUACGGGUGGCGAGUGGCGGACGGGUGAGGAAUACAUCGGAAUCUACUUUUUCGUGGGGGAUAACGUAGGGAAACUUACGCUAAUACCGCAUACGACCUACGGGUGAAAGCAGGGGAUCUUCGGACCUUGCGCGAUUGAAUGAGCCGAUGUCGGAUUAGCUAGUUGGCGGGGUAAAGGCCCACCAAGGCGACGAUCCGUAGCUGGUCUGAGAGGAUGAUCAGCCACACUGGAACUGAGACACGGUCCAGACUCCUACGGGAGGCAGCAGUGGGGAAUAUUGGGCAAUGGGCGAAAGCCUGAUCCAGCCAUACCGCGUGGGUGAAGAAGGCCUUCGGGUUGUAAAGCCCUUUUGUUGGGAAAGAAAAGCAGCAGGUGAAUACCCGGCUGUUCUGACGGUACCCAAAGAAUAAGCACCGGCUAACUUCGUG
rnacentral:rRNA from 1 species